AACGAACGCUGGCGGCGUGGAUAAGACAUGCAAGUCGAACGGGAUUACUUCUGGUAGCAAUACCGGGAGUAAUUCAGUGGCGAACGGGUGCGUAACACGUGGGCAAUCUGCCGAAAAGUGGGGGAUAGCUCGCCGAAAGGCGAAUUAAUACCGCAUAUGAUGAGAGACGACAUCGUUUCGAAAUCAAAGCCGGGGCAACCUGGCGCUUUUUGAGGAGCCCGCGGCCUAUCAGCUAGUUGGUGAGGUAACGGCUCACCAAGGCGGUGACGGGUAGCUGGUCUGAGAGGACGACCAGCCACACUGGAACUGAGACACGGUCCAGACACCUACGGGUGCAGCAGUCGAGAAUUUUUCUCAAUGGGGAAACCCUGAAGGAGCGACGCCGCGUGGAGGAUGAAGGCUUUCGGGUU
rnacentral:rRNA from 1 species